CCUACGGGGGGCUGCAGUGGGGAAUAUUGGGCAAUGGGCGCAAGCCUGACCCAGCAACGCCGCGUGAAGGAAGAAGGCUUUCGGGUUGUAAACUUCUUUUCUGAGGGACGAAGAAAGUGACGGUACCUCAGGUAUAAGCCACGGCUAACUACGUGCCAGCAGCCGCGGCAAGACGUAGGUGGCAAGCGUUAUCCGGAUUUAUGGGGUGUACAGGGCGUGUAGGCGGGAAAGCAAGUCAGAUGUGAAAACUGAGGGCUCAACCCUGAGCGUGCAUUUGAAACUGUUUUUCUUGAGUGCUGGAGAGGCAAUCGGAAUUCGGGGUGUAGCGGUGAAAUGCGUAGAUAUACGGAGGAACACCAGUGGCGAAGGCGGAUUGCUGGACAGUAACUGACGCUGAGGCGCGAAAGCGUGGGGAGCAAACAGGAUUAGAUACCCGAGUAGUC
rnacentral:rRNA from 1 species